rnacentral:rRNA from 1 species
UACAGAGGGUGCAAGCGUUAAUCGGAAUUACUGGGCGUAAAGCGUGCGUAGACGGUUGCGUAAGUCAGAUGUGAAAGCCCCGGGCUCAACCUGGGAACUGCGUUUGAAACUACAAGGCUAGAGUGUGGCAGAGGGGGGUGGAAUUCCCGGUGUAGUGGUGAAAUGCGUAGAGAUCGGGAGGAACACCUGUGGCGAAGGCGGCCCCCUGGGCCGGCCCUGACACUGAGACGCGAAGGCGUGGGGAGCGAACGGG